AAUAGUUUUAUUAUUCUCGACAACGGGAGUGUUGAUCAGUUUGAUUCUUUUUAUAAGGUACUCUGUUCUUUUAAAGAGAAUAGACUAGCAGUAUGGCCCGGAGAGUCAACCCAGGGAUUACUGUUAAUGAUGACACACAUACAUUGGCCGAGUUAGACGUGAACUAUUAUGAUCCGCGUUAUGACUACACAGGGGAAGAAAUAGAGAAUUACUUCAUAUCUCCCAGGAGAGAACUA